CCUGUCUUGGUGACAGAGGCUGUACCACAGGAAGCAGUCACCUCUUUGUAUUAUUUGUCCCCAAAGAUAAAGCGAAUGAUUCCAGUUCUAGAACCUGAAACUAUUCAGAUAAUUGAAUCCCUAUGUUCGGGCAAAGGACGGGAGAAGUGCAAGUAAUGCCAGGAUUCUUCCUGGUUCUGAAAAGAAAGAGGCAAUAAGACCCUUUGGGUGGAUUUUAUUUGAUGGUACUUGAAAUUCUCAUAUCAUUGAAAUGAAAGUGAUCAAUGUAAGGUCUAUUCCAGAGAGAGGAGGCACUCCUAAUUUUAGAAGAAUCUAAAAUGCCACAGAGGGGAGAGACAGAAUCAGCCUGGCGAAGACAUGGUGAAGCUGUGGUUCCAGCACCAAGCUGGACGGUAGCUGGAGAAAGACACUUUUGGCACAGCCUGAAUAAUGGUUGGAGCAGUCUGUUCCAAAGGGGUGUGUAAGUUGUUGGUGAAGGUGUGGGCGACAUGUUGUGUAGUCUGAUCUCCUCUCACAGAUCUACGGAAAACACACUCAAGCCUUGGGGGCCAGGAGGUGGUCAAGACUUUAUCUGACCUGAUACCUUCCCUGGGCUCACACAUCUGCUUUCUCAGAGAAGGUCCAUUGAGGCAGCUCUGAGUUCUAGGUAAGAGAAGAAGGGAAACUUCAAAAAGAUGUGUUGUCCAGUUUUGCAGAGGAUAGUAAUUCUCAAUUAAAAAUCCUGGUCAUCAAUUCAGUCUCAGAGGUACCAGACUUGGUAUCGUUGCCCUUCUCCGUUGUGAAAUUGACUCUGGCUGAGGAGCUGCUAUGUUGCCCUUUAAGAAGUCCCAGAAAGGCAGGCUGUGGCCAGGGCUGGGAUGUCUGGGUUAGGCAGGUGCCCAGAACAGUGGAUCAGAACAAAUUGAAUCAUGUGGACUCUCUGUCCAACACCAUUUUGGCCUGUCACUGGCACUUGUCUAAACAGACACAUAAACCUGAAAGUUGGACUGGUGUCUCAAUGUUGCUAUCAGUUCCUUGGAUAAACAUCUCCUCUGAAUGAUUAUAAACAAAUUACUUCAUCUGCAACACACAAAGCCACUGCGGUCUGAAGUUAUAUAAUCUCUCUUUCUCCCUCCUUUCCUUUUUCCCUCUUCCAAUUUCCU
rnacentral:lncRNA from 1 species